AACCCUUAUCGGUGGAUCACUCGGCUCGUGCGUCGAUGAAGAACGCAGCUAGCUGCAAGAACUAAUGUGAAUUGCAGGACACAUUGAUCAUCGACACUUCGAACGCACUUUGCAGCACCAGGUUCCUCCUGGGGCUACGCCCAUCUGGCGGUCG